rnacentral:rRNA from 1 species
GUACUGUGCGAACGUUAUUCGGAAUCACUGGGCUUAAAGGGUGCGUAGGCGGCAAUUCAAGUCAGAUGUGAAAUGCCUGAGCUCAACUGAGGCAUUGCGUUUGAAACUGAAUCGCUAGAGUAUCCCAGGGGUGUGCGGAACUGCCAGUGGAACGGUGAAAUGUGUUGAUAUUGGCAGGAACACCGGAGGCGAAAGCGGCACACUAGGGGAUAACUGACGCUGAGGCACGAAAGCCAAGGGAGCGAACGGGAUUAGAUACCCCGGUAGUCUUGGCCGUAAACGAUGAGUACUGGGCGGGAGGGGGUUUCCCUUUUCUGCCGUAGCGAAAGCGUUAAGUACUCCGCCUGGGGAGUAUGGUCGCAAGGCUG